rnacentral:rRNA from 1 species
GACGGGGGCCCGCACAAGCGGAGGAGCAUGUGGUUUAAUUCGAUGAUACGCGAGGAACCUUACCUGGGCUUAAAUGCUUAAUGACGUACUGGGAAACUGGUAUUUCUUCGGACAUUUUGCAAGGUGCUGCAUGGUUGUCGUCAGCUCGUGCCGUGAGGUGUCGGGUUAAGUCCCAUAACGAGCGCAACCCCUAUUGUUAGUUGCCAUCAGGUCAUGCUGGGGACUCGUAACAAAACUGCCCGCGUAAGCGUGGAGGAAGGUGGGGAUGACGUCAAAUCAGCACGGCCCUUACGUCCAGGGCUACACACGUGCUACAAUGGCCGGUACAGAGGGCAGCCACUUGGUGACAAGGAGCAAAUCUCAAAAGCCGGUCUCAGUUCGGAUCGGAGUCUGCAACUCGACUCCGUGAAGUUGGAUUCGCUAGUAAUCGUAGAUCAGCAAUGCUACGGUGAAUACGUUCCCGGGCCUU